ensembl:snRNA U2 U2 spliceosomal RNA
AUCGCUUCUCGGCCUUUUGGCUAAGAUCAAGUGUAGUAUCUGUUCUUAUCAGUUUAAUAUCUGAUACGUCCUCUAUCUGAGGACAAUAUAUUAAAUGUAUUUUUGUAAUUAGGAGUUGGAAUAGGAGCUUGCUCCGUCCACUCCACGCAUCGACCUGGUAUCGCAGUACCUCCAGGAACGGUGCACCCCUC